rnacentral:rRNA from 1 species
GGGUACACGAGCGGCGAACGGGUGAGUAACACGUGGGUGAUCUGCCCUGCACUUCGGGAUAAGCUAGGGAAACUGGGUCUAAUACCGGAUAUGACCUCAGGUUGCAUGACUUGGGGUGGAAAGAUUUAUCGGUGCAGGAUGGGCCCGCGGCCUAUCAGCUUGUUGGUGGGGUAAUGGCCUACCAAGGCGACGACGGGUAGCCGACCUGAGAGGGUGACCGGCCACACUGGGACUGAGACACGGCCCAGACUCCUACGGGAGGCAGCAGUGGGGAAUAUUGCACAAUGGGCGAAAGCCUGAUGCAGCGACGCCGCGUGAGGGAUGACGGCCUUCGGGUUGUAAACCUCUUUCAGCAGGGACGAAGCGCAAGUGACGGUACCUGCAGAAGAAGCACCGGCUAACUACGUGCCAGCAGCCGCGGUAAUACGUAGGGUGCAAGCGUUGUCCGGAAUUACUGGGCGUAAAGAGUUCGUAGGCGGUUUGUCGCGUCGUUUGUGAAAACCAGCAGCUCAACUGCUGGCUUGCAGGCGAUACGGGCAGACUUGAGUACUGCAGGGGAGACUGGAAUUCCUGGUGUAGCGGUGAAAUGCGCAGAUAUCAGGAGGAACACCGGUGGCGAAGGCGGGUCUCUGGACAGUAACUGACGCUGA